CGGAACUAACAGAUUUACUUCGGUAAUGACGUUAGGAAAGCGAGCGGCGGAUGGGUGAGUAACACGUGGGGAACCUGCCCCAUAGUCUGGGAUACCACUUGGAAACAGGUGCUAAUACCGGAUAAGAAAGCAGAUCGCAUGAUCAGCUUUUAAAAGGCGGCGUAAGCUGUCGCUAUGGGAUGGCCCCGCGGUGCAUUAGCUAGUUGGUAAGGUAAAGGCUUACCAAGGCGAUGAUGCAUAGCCGAGUUGAGAGACUGGUCGGCCACAUCGGGACUGAGACACGGCCCAAACUCCUACGGGAGGCAGCAGUAGGGAAUCUUCCACAAUGGACGCAAGUCUGAUGGAGCAACGCCGCGUGAGUGAAGAAGGUUUUCGGAUCGUAAAGCUCUGUUGUUGGUGAAGAAGGAU
rnacentral:rRNA from 1 species